AAUCAUCAACGAUGGAUAACUUGGCUCAAACUGUGAUGAAGGACGUAGCAAAAUGCGAAACUGCUAUUGUAACGUAACUUUAUAUGUGGAAUUGUUUCUGAACGCAAAUGUAUUCUGUUUUGAGAAUAUUAUAUAGUCCGAGUAG
rnacentral:rRNA from 1 species